GAUGAACGCUAGCGAUAGGCUUAACACAUGCAAGUCGAACGGAAAGGCCCUGCUUUUGUGGGGUGCUCGAGUGGCGAACGGGUGAGUAACACGUGAGUAACCUGCCCUUGACUUUGGGAUAACUUCAGGAAACUGGGGCUAAUACCGGAUAGGAGCUCCUGCUGCAUGGUGGGGGUUGGAAAGUUUCGGCGGUUGGGGAUGGACUCGCGGCUUAUCAGCUUGUUGGUGGGGUAGUGGCUUACCAAGGCUUUGACGGGUAGCCGGCCUGAGAGGGUGACCGGCCACAUUGGGACUGAGAUACGGCCCAGACUCCUACGGGAGGCAGCAGUGGGGAAUAUUGCACAAUGGGCGGAAGCCUGAUGCAGCAACGCCGCGUGCGGGAUGACGGCCUUCGGGUUGUAAACCGCUUUCGCCUGUGACGAAGCGUGAGUGACGGUAAUGGGUAAAGAAGCACCGGCUAACUACGUG
rnacentral:rRNA from 1 species